UAUUAUACCAUGGUGUCAGUGUGUCACUGUGUGUCACGCUGGUCUGAGAAAGACAGAGGAAGACGCCAUUGUUAUCUUGUGAUGUUUAGUUGUAAUCUCCAUUCUCCUUUGGACUACGUCAGUGACCGAAUAUGGGAUUUUUGCAAGAUUUUGUAUCGACGUUCAUCCCACUCCUCAAAGUUGUUUAGCGUUUAGCUGACCGAGAACUGCAUCCCAAGUCAGAUUUCCAGUAUGCAGGUUUCAUGCAAAGCGAAAGCACGAUUAUUGUCAUCUUGAUGCCAAUGAAUAUGCUGUGUGAUGAAUCAUAUAGUGUGAAAAUGCUAGUAGCCUAGCCGUACGGUGAUUCACAGUUAUACAUCAGCAAAUCAGUUGCCAUCGCCGUGGAGAUAGAUCGAAUGGUUUGAUGGUUCCUGUGUCGGCGCUUUGCGAAGGGAAGCAAGAGUCAAUCUACGAGUACAUGUGCCCCAAUUGUGAGCCGUUAGGAGUCCAAAAGCUACGAAAGGCACUCGUGUCUACGAGGAACUACACGAUUUUCUACAGCAGUUGCAACCCCCAACCCACCCACAAGAGCUCCUAGCCGUUCCUUGAGCCCGUCGAUGUUCAACAAGUCGCCGACUUAUCAGAUCAUCAAGGAUCCUAUGGAAUUACAAAUGGUUCGAGACCAAUAUUAUAGAGAGACGGCCUACAAAUGAGUGAAUGACAGAAUUUAUUGGCGACACCAACGAUUUCGCGUUUCAUUUAAAAGUUGUUGACGGUUUUAGAUCCUGACUGAAAACAUGGGUACGUUGGUGCGAGUCGGUAAGAGUGGUGAAAUACCAGUGGUGAAGCAAGAAGAGAAUUAACAAAUUGCUUUGAUCUUUUGUCUGUUUUAUAAGCAAUUCCUGGAAUAGUUAUGUUGACUGUAAAGUGUGUGUGACGUAGAGAGAAAAUCUUCUGGCAUGCAACGGGAAAGUGCUAUGAUCAAUGAAUCAGUAGUAUGUUUGAGGGAAUACUUCUACAUCACGAGAUAUUUGAAAAAAGUACGACAAUUUAUCAUAAUAAUUAAACUUCUGCGUAUGCUGCAAAACUCAACGCGGGAAUAUUAAGUUACGAUGGAAUUUCUCUUAAAUUUAACAACGUACGAAGCUUUAUUAACUCUUAACUGGAAUCUCACCGUGUACGCACUUGUCAUUUUUUUAAUGUUAUCAGAAGAAAAAAAUAAGGUUACGGUAACAUAAGUUAUUUAAACGUAUGCUAUUUGUCAGACUUCAUUUAAUAGAAAAUACAAACAAAAACAAAGAUGAAUAGAAUUGUGUUAUAUUGUCCCGCCUCUACCCACAAUUCCUCCACUUUAUACAUACAUACACAUAUACAUAUACAAUUAUACGUACACUAAGUUAACCCGUUGGCUGCCACGCCA